rnacentral:rRNA from 1 species
ACCCAGUGGAUGGCUUGGCUUGAUAUCCGAGGAAGGACGUGGCAAGCUGCGAUAAGCCCGGGCGAGGCGCAUGCAGCCGUAGAACCCGGGAUUUCCGAAUUGCUCCCAAGGCUCUGCCGAGGGAGCGGGAACGCGGGGAAUUGAAACAUCUUAGUACCCGCAGGAAAAGAAAGCAAUAGCGAUUCCCUGAGUACCGGCGAGGGAAAAGGGAACAGGGCAAACCGAACACUCUCUCGCAAGGGAGAGUGGAUGUGGGGUUUGGGGAUGUCCAUACUUCCUCCGGAAAGGAGUCGAAGUCCUCUGGAACGAGGCACCAUAGAGGGUGAGAGUCCCGUAGACGAACUUUCUGGAGGAAGAUUUGGACAAUUCCCGAGUAUUGUCGGUCGGAUAUCCGGCAAGAAUAUGGGAGCCAUUAACUCCCAACCCUAAAUAUAAGUCAAGACCGAUAGCGAACUAGUACCGUGAGGGAAAGCUGAAAAGAACCCUUAAAAGGGAGUGAAAAGAGCCUGAAACUGGGUAGCACGGUAUCCGUUUCGAAUAACGGGGUAAGGAGUAUAGGUCUGCGGCGAGGCUAAGUGCUUAAAGCACGGAGCCGUAGCGAAAGCGAGUGCGAAAGCGCGUUAGUCGCAGGCCUAUGACCAGAAGCCGGACGAUCUAUUCCCGGACAGGGUGAAGUGCCUCGAAAGAGGCAUGGAGGCCCGAACCGGUGCUAGCGUGCUAUCUGCUCGGAUGAUCCGGGAAUAGGGGUGAAAAGCCAAUCUAGUCCGGCGAUAGCUGGUUCCCUCCGAAAUGAGCCGCAGCUCAGCCCAUCCCGUAUAGAUUAACGCGUAAAGUUACUGAUUGGAUAGUAGGGCCCGAAAGGGUUCGCUAUCCAGUCAAACUCAGAAGCGUUAAUCAUAACUGGGAUGGAGUGGGGGUUGCCGGGAAAAGCUCGGUGCCCGAGAGGGAAACAACCCUAACUGGCAUUAAGGUCCCAAAGUGGUGGCUAAGUACACUGAAGGGGUAUAUCCUCUAAUACAGCAGGGAGGUAGACAGUAAGUCAUUGAGAAAUUAGAAGUCAGAAAUUAGAAUUCAAUGACUUACUGGCCUAAGCUUAGAAGCAGCCAUCCUUUAAAGAGUGCGUAACAGCUCACCUGCCUAGAGGAUAUGCCCCGAAAAUGGACGGGGUUAAGCCACCCACCGAUAUGCCAGACCUACUCUUUCGAGAGUAGGUGGUAGGAGGGCGUCUUGAUAGGGCGGAAGCCUCUCUUUAAGGAGGGGUGGACCUAUCAAGAAUGAGAAUCUUACCGAUAGUAGCAGCAAAGUGGUGUGAGAACCACCAUCGCCACAAGUGGGCAAGGGUUUCCUACCAAUUACGAUGAGGUAGGAGUUAGUCCGCACCCCGAGAGAACUCCUAACCGAAGUUCUCAAGGGGAAAUGGGUUAAUAUUCCCAUACCACCAAGCUCUAAUCCGAUUGGUGCGGUUCGAGAUAGCCCAACGCAAGCCAAGCACUGAAGCCCUCGGAGUCUCGUAAUGAGGAGAAGAGGGUGAAGGUGUGAUGGGCCUUCCUUGAGAAGGUUUGGGCGAGUCUCGGACACCGUGAAAGCCAAUCGGAAAUAUUGCUUGGUGGCGGUACCCAGAACCAACACAGGUGCCCACGCUGAGUAGGCGAAGGUGUGACAGGAUAAUCCGGUCUAGGGAACUCGGCAAAUUGGUGGUGUAUCCUCGGUAGAAACCAUGCCUGUUCUCCUUCGGGAAGAACAGGUCGCAGUGACAAGGAGGGCCCGACUGUUUAAUUAAAACAUAGCCGACUGCUACCCCGAAAGGGUUUGUAUAGUCGGUGAAGCCUGCCCAGUGCGGGUGUGUGAAACCUCCUUUCAAGGAGGCUAAGCCCCCGUAAACGGCGGCGGUAACCCUGACCGUCUUAGGGAGCGGUCAUACGAGAGAAAAAUGACUCUAUGGCCGUCUCUGGGCAGAGGUAGCGUAAUCCCUUGCCGAUUAAACAUCGGCCUGCAUGAAGGUCCAACGAGGUCCUCACUGUCCCAGACCGGAACCUGGCGAACUCUCCAUUCUGGUGAACAGGCCAGAGACCCCCAGUGGGAAGAGUAGUCCCUGUGGAGCUUUACUGCAGCCUGCUGUUGUGGUAAUUCUUAGGAUGUAAAGAGUAGGUAGGAGCUUCGGCGAAAGUGUGACACUACCCUUCCUAAGAAUUACUGCUUACCUCUCUGGAGGGACAGCAGCAGGUGGGCAGUUUGGGUGGGGCGCCACGCCCCUAACAAGGCAUCAGGGGCGCCCAAAGGUCAGCUCACCGAGGUCAGAAAUCUCGGGUAGAGUGCAAACGCAAAAGCUGGCCUGAUUGGACCCUGCCAAGCGAAGGGUCCAAGCUCGAAAGAGUGGGUUAGCGAAACGCGGCCAUGCAUUAAUGGCAGCCCGUGACGCCAGAAAAGCUACCCCAGGGGUAAUGGAGCUGUGGCCCCCGAGAGUCCCAUAUCGACGGGGCGCGUUGCUACUUCGUUGUUGGCUCGCCUCCUCCUGGGUGUGCAUAAGCACCCAAGGGUGCAGGGGUUUACUGCUUAAAGAGGCACGUUAGCUGAGUUAAGAACGGCGUGAGCCAGUUCGGUCUAUAUCUGCUGGGGGUGUUGACAAUCUGACAGGAAGGGAGCCUUAGUACGAGAGGAACAGGCUCCCGCGGCCUCUGGUGUACCGGUCGUGAAUGCGCCGCCGGGUAGCCACGCCGUCACGGAUAAGAGCUGAAAGCAUCUAAGCUCGAAGCCGUUCUGAAAAAGAGAUUGUCAUUGGUGCGGAUAGAAGAUCCGCUUGAUAGGAGGGGGGUGUAAGCACCGAGCUUCGGCGAGGUGUUCAGCCCACCCUUACUAACUC